GUGCACUGAAGCAGCAAAUCGUUUUUUGACCGUGACAUCGUUUGUUUGUAUGUACGAGUCAGAAAUAAAUCUGGACAUCUCACAUUAAGAAGUGGAAAAAUUAUGUUUUCAAAGCUUGGUAGAGAAAUUCGCCACUACACUACAUGUGUGUACUUCAGCCUUUGUCGUGAUUUGUCUCAUAGUUAUUUUCCCUGUUUGUUCUGUAUUUCUUGGUUAGUAUCUGAGUUUUUUGCACUCAGCCCUCUCUGGGUUUUCGGUUUUCAUGUGAAGUUUCAUCAGUAAAGCUGUUUUGAGUUUAGUUCUGCUUCCACUGAACUAACUGUGGUUACAAAUGGCUGUUAUUCUAAAACAAUUCAUGAUUUAUUUAUUUUUUGUAAAACUCAUUAAGUAAAAGCUUAAAGUCUGCACUUCAGUCACAUUAAUUAUUUGAUUUACAAUUGACUGUGGUGGUGAACAGAUGCAGAGCUACAAAUCUAGUAAAACAUAAUGGUCUUUUUAAAAUUCUCACUAAACCUGCAGUGACAAUAGUUCUCUUGUUUUGGGGGGAUUUUUUUUUUUUUUUUUUUGUAUUUCUAACUUACAGUACAUGACAAGCCCGUACUAACAGCAGACAGCACAACCAUACCAGCAGGGGGCAGUGUGACACUGACCUGUGAUGUGAAGGACUCUGCUGACUUAAAAUAUGAGUGGUUCAGACAAACGUCAUCUGAAGUAAAGUCCAUAAUAACUGGUGAAUCAGGCAGAACGAUCUCUGUGUCUGAAGGAGGCACGUACACCUGCAGGGCUGAAGGGAAAAAUAUCAUCAUUACAGGAAGUGACUCAGUCACAAUUAAGAAAACUGGUGAGUUUAAACAUUUCACUUGAACUAAAACAUUUUUUCUGUUAUUAUUAUUAUUGUUUUUGUUGUUGUAUUUGAGGUAUUUUUAAAGACAAAUCAGCAUUUAUUCACAUAAUUAUGAUAAAACCUGCUGCUGGAAACAACUUUUUGUAUUAUCUUUUUUUUGUUCCCUGUUUUGUUUUUGUUGUUUCUUUUUUUAACAAUAUUUGUUGAACAGUCUUAGCUGCUGUGAAACUGCAGCCCAUGUGAGUUUAUCUACAAUUCAAACUGAAGUUUCCUGUUUUCAUUUAUACGUCUGUUUAAACAGAACAUCAGGAAACAAUUAUCUUAAUUAAUUUCAAUUAAGACCCUCUAAAACCUCUAACAAUGAUCCAGCUGUUUCCAGGCAGCUUACUAUUUUAUAUUUGGUGUUUUUGGCCAAUUGUUUGUUG
ensembl:lncRNA